UCUUCUUCUUCUUCUCUUUCUUCUGUUCUUCAUGUAUUUCUCCCUGUCGAAUUCAAUUCCAAUAAAUCUUGAGAUCCAGAUAAAUUGAAGAAGAGGGUGAUGAAUUUGGAAGCUAAUUGAGCUCUGAAUGAAGAAGAAAUCGGAAGAAAUACAAAUUAGGGUUUCUCCUAGAAUUUAAUAAGUUGUAUAUUUGGAAGAGGAGUUCGAUUUAGAAAAUGCAUAUGGAGAUUAGAGAUGGGUAUUGUGUAUUGAGAGUAAGGGAGGAGAUUUAGCUCCUGAUUCUCUACUCACACGGAAGAAUCAGUGAAUUAGGGUUUUAUGAGAACCAGUGAUAGUGAAGGAACUGAGUUUGAGUCCAAGAUAAAAGUUACUGAUAAUUAAAUCUGGGUCUGUUUUCAAUUCGAUGUUGUGCUGUAGUUGGGCAUUUCUGAGUUCGAUUCAAAUCAGUGAAAGAACCAUGGGUUCGAUUCAAGUUGACACACAUUGAAUCACCACCAAGCUUGCUAAGAUUCAAGAGAAAAUGACGUUGCCUUUAAUAUGUUGUUCCCUGAUCUCAAUGCCUUUUGCCACAAAUGUAUGGCGCAAUUUGUGGAAUUAGUAGUUAAUGUCCUUUGUUCUGGAGUCACAAAAAUGGGGCUACUGUUGGAAGGAAAUCGAUCUUUGAGAGUGUGCUCAGGAUGCAUUGUACAUAUUGUGUUCAGUAUCUUCCGUAUAUUCCUAACACUCUCUUACAAUCUUUGGUGGUAGUGGUGGUUGUGGACCUGUGGUGGAUGAGACUUUUAGCAAGGAAAUUGAGAAAAAGCAGUCGUGGACUUCUCUGUAAGCGACUGUUAUUAACUCCUUAGAUUCUUUGACAUAUUAAAGAAAGUAUUGCCAUUGUUGGUUAUGGCCAUGAUGGACCUGCAGUGUCACCUGAAGGAAGAGGUAAAAAUUGUUUUUUGUGCUAACGAUAUUAAGCCUUUCUCCAGCGCUGAAUUGGGGGCCAUGGAAAAUAAUUCGGGGCCCUAAAUUCCUAUCCCCACUCGUGGUAAGAGGAUAAGGGGUGUCUAAAUAUAAUGAAAAGACUAGAUUACUCCAACCCUUAUAAUUAUGACACGUGUCAUCCUAUUAAUAUAUUAAUAUUUAUCUUUUUAUUUUUUUUAGUUUUUACUUUUUUUAUUUGUUAUUUUUUUUUUAUAUUUUUUUAAAAAAAAAAUUUUGCCCAAAUUUGUAUGAAAAAUCAUCAAGUUAUCGAGGUAUUAAAAAACGACCCACAAGUGUUUUAAUGACGACUCUACACAAUCGUUAAUGCAUAUAAAAAAAUCGUUAAGAUCUUCCAAAAGUCAUUAACGACCCACAAGAAUCGUCAUUGUUUCAAUGGCGACUCUGAACAGUCGUUAUCUUCUUCGAAGAAGAUAACGACUAUUUUAUAUGCAUUACCAACCGUUUGGAGUCGUCAUUGUUUCAUUGACGACUCUUGUGGUCGGUAAUGACUUUUCGAAGAACAUAACGACUCUUUUAUAUGCAUUAACGACUUUUUAGAGUCAUACAAUGACGACUCUUUUUGGUCGUUUUCGAGGGUCGUUGUUGAAACAUCUCAAUAUCUUGACGACUAUUCAGAGUCGUCAUUGAAACACUUCACUCCCAUGACGACUUUUCAUACAAAUCUGGGCAAAAAAAAAAAUUCAAACAAGAAAUUUGAAAAAGAAAAGGUUAAAAUCAAUUAAGUAAGAUUAACACUAAUUAAAUAAGAUUAUCACUAAUUACAUAAGGGUAGAUUAGCCAUUACCACUUAUGAUUUGGGGGUAGUUUAGUCAUUUAAAAAAGUUGGGGAUAAGGGAUAACUCCCAAUUACUAUUUCAUGAUUUUUUUGUCCUGUAGCUAGGGUCCCCAAUUAUUUUUCAAGGGCCCCCAAUUCAGCCGUGCUUUUCUCAUGGUCAUGAUGCGUUAAUGGAUUUUGACAUUUUUUUUAAAGUAGUGGAAAAAAUGUUCCAUGUAACUUCAACUGCAACUGGUAAAAGCUGAUGAUGUGGUUAUUUAUGUCUUCAGUGCAUGGGUUAUUGAUCAGGUAGGCAUCCAUUUCUCAUCUAAUUGAAGAUAUUGUCAAGUUUCUCUUUAUUUUCUUCCGAAAGUAUGUAUUGAAUCCCUACUAACUGGAAUGGGUUAGUGUUUAUGUAUCUACACGUUUUUGGCAUUACAAGUAGUAAUUUGUGGUGAAAUCACCAAAUGUAGCAUAUUGUGAUGUUUUUGUUAUCACGAAGUUAAGGGAUUUUUGGCAUCUUACCAUGUUUAUUUUUAUUCCUGGGUGCGCCUUUGGUAUAUAUUAGCUAAAGCCAUUGUCAAUAGGAAGUUGAGACGGUGAUGCACUUCGAGUUGCACUGGUAGAUUUCAAUGUUAUUUAACCUCUUUAUCCUUAUUGGAAUGAUUAAUUAGCAUUGUUUAGCCACUUCAGUCAAUUAAUAAACCUGAUUUUUUGGCAGACAGCUGUUACGGAUCCUCGGAUAUUGAAACCAAUGAUGGUUCAGUUCGGGUGGUGGGAUAUAUGAUAUCACUAAGAUGAUGAUCACUUAUCACCUUCUCAGGGGGAAAUUUAGGUAUUCUUGAAUCUGUAAGUACUCCAGAGCUCUCAUCAACACUUGCAAGACAUGAGAAGGAUGAAGAUAUGACAACAGAGGGAAACAUAUCACUUGGUGAUGAUGCUGAUGGGUUGUAUCAGAGUCGAAAAUAAGCUAAUUUGCUUAUGUGUGAAACUUGAAGCAGCGACUGUCCAAAAACGUUACACUCAUGACUCAUCUCUUGGCGAAAAAACAGUGGUGUAAAGUGGUUGGCUUGCUGCUGAGAGUGCGCGUCAUCCAUAGGAGGAGCUAAUAAAGCUGAUUAUGCAUGUAUAUUUGAGAAACAUGACCAGAAACUUAUGGUGAUGAAUGAAAAUUGGAAACAUGAUGAUGAGUUCAUCGUGCAAGAUCUGAACUCACGAUUAUGAAAUGUAGCCAGUAUUUACCAGCGACGGUUAGUAAAAUGUAGCCUCUCAUUUAACCUUAAGUAAUUGUAUUUCUCAGCUGUGUGAGCAUGACAAUCAGACAUGGUUUUCAGUUGAACAUGGUUAACGCUUUGAAUUAAGAUUAUUAAAGGCGCGAGUUAAUAACCUUAACUAGCCUUUUAAAACAGUGAAAAGCAGUACCAGCUUUAUGUUUUUUAAAGUCAUUGUUUUUGUCAAACUAUCACCAGUUUUUG